GUGGGGAAUAUUGCGCAAUGGGCGGAAGCCUGACGCAGCGACGCCGCGUGGGGGAUGACGGCCUUCGGGUUGUAAACCUCUUUCAGCAGGGACGAAGCCGCGAGGUGACGGUACCUGCAGAAGAAGCACCGGCCAACUACGUGCCAGCAGCCGCGGUAAUACGUAGGGUGCAAGCGUUGUCCGGAAUUAUUGGGCGUAAAGAGCUCGUAGGCGGUUGGUCGCGUCGGCUGUGAAAACCCGGAGCUCAACUCCGGGCCUGCAGUCGAUACGGGCCGACUUGAGUGUUGCAGGGGAGACUGGAAUUCCUGGUGUAGCGGUGAAAUGCGCAGAUAUCAGGAGGAACACCGGUGGCGAAGGCGGGUCUCUGGGCAACAACUGACGCUGAGGAGCGAAAGCGUGGGGAGCGAACAGGAUUAGAAACCCCAGUAGUCC
rnacentral:rRNA from 1 species